UGGGGAAUAUUGCACAAUGGGCGAAAGCCUGAUGCAGCAACGCCGCGUGAGGGAUGACGGCCUUCGGGUUGUAAACCUCUUUUAGUAGGGAAGAAGCGCAAGUGACGGUACCUGCAGAAAAAGCACCGGCUAACUACGUGCCAGCAGCCGCGGUAAUACGUAGGGUGCAAGCGUUGUCCGGAAUUAUUGGGCGUAAAGAGCUCGUAGGCGGCUUGUCGCGUCUGCUGUGAAAACCCGAGGCUCAACCUCGGGCCUGCAGUGGGUACGGGCAAGCUAGAGUGCGGUAGGGGAGAUUGGAAUUCCUGGUGUAGCGGUGGAAUGCGCAGAUAUCAGGAGGAACACCGAUGGCGAAGGCAGAACUCUGGGCCGUAACUGACGCUGAGGAGCGAAAGCAUGGGGAGCGAACAGG
rnacentral:rRNA from 1 species